CAUGUACGUACACGUGGAUAGCUUGCCCAGUGUUUUAUGUGGUCAUACAGGAUUUAUUGGCCAGCUACUUUCUUUUUUCCGUAGGCUAAGACUCAAAUUUUCAUGUUUGUGGUCUGGGUUCGUGUGACCUGAGAGUUUUCUCAAAGCAGACCCACUCCUUACUGGUACGGUCCCUCACCGCCCCCACCCUGGAUAUUUCUUACUUUCAACUUGAUCCAUUAUGCACAUCUUAAAAUAGGAUCUGGUUGCUGUGUUUAUAGGGGGAAUUUAAGGCAAGAAACAGGGAAGCUGGGUAGGAUUUCUCCUAAUUGGGAUGGUCCCUCUCCACCACUCCGGUAAAAAUGAAGAAACUUGACUCAGGUGAACCUCCUUUGGUUGCUGUCCUGCAUUUGUGUGAUGUGGGCCUUAGAAAGGAAUUUGAAUGAAUAUUCCUGAACAAAGGCAACAGCCUUCUUUUCAGAGGCUAUCGGAGAAUUGAAAGGGAAUGGCAUGAAGUUGGGUGUGUCCUGAAAUCCAGAGCCCGGCCCUACCCAGUGAUUAACUGAGCUGGAGCAGGUGAUGCCUGAGCUCUUUCUCUCUCUCGCUGACCUUGGCUUUCCGGAGAGGUAAGAUCUCCACAUGGUAGAGAUUUUCCUGAAGAACAGGCUUUCCUUUAAUUAUAAGAUUACCUUCCCAGUUCUGCAGCCCUUCUUUUGGGAACACGUGUGAGCUUGUGAACAUGCGUGUGAUCGAGAAAUGCCUGCAGUCUUGCUGGUGCUGCUGCCCCUGGUAGGAUUUGGGGGUAGAGUGGGGCCACUGGGGAUUCAGUGUGGCCUGCCCUGUCUCAAGACAGCGGAGGGAAGCGCUGGGAGGUGUCUCUUGACAAAUUAGUCAUGUUAGCCCUGGUGUCCUGGCCCUGCUCCAGCUUGAGUAAUGAUUAGAUUCUAUUUUAAGUCCCCCUGCAGUUUCAAACAGGUCUCCCUUCCACUGCACUCCAUAUGGAAAGGUCAGUGUGUGUGUGUGUGUGUGUGUGUGUGUGUGUGUGUGUGUGUGUGUUUAUGUGUGGGCCAGGACCAGCUCUAGCUCGCUCCACCCCCACAGGCUUCUGAGGUGCCCCUUUGGGGUGUAGAAGGAUGAAGCAGCUUCCUUAGUGGCUGUUCCAUCCGGAAGGUGGCUGAGGCUAAGUCCUGCCGGCACCUUAGCCCCAGGAUAUUCUGACGCUCCUGGAGUUUUCUCUGCAUUUGCUGACUGACCACUCCAUGUAGCGUCCUGAUGGAAGGUCAUUUCUUAACAGCCAGGGUUGAGGUUGGUCCCAGAACCACACUCUGGGGUCUAGGGUGUAGGAGGUAAGGACCUCUGCAGAAAAGCCACUGAGUUUAGCAUCCAAGUUUAUCCAUCAAAACAUGUGACCGGAGCAGGGGCAGGUGAUCUGCCCUCCUUGGUGCCUAGUUUUUUUUCACCCUCUCAUUUGUGUAGGAUUUUGCUGCUUUGCUUUGGUGUCCUCCACAAUGCUUGUUGCUUUUAAUGCAAGGUUGGAGUUUUUUCCCCCACACAUACACAUCCUUUCUUCUCAUUUCUCACCUAGCCUAGGAUUAAGAAUGUGGUUUCAACUGACAAAAGCCAGGAGAGUUCAGAAUUAAAAUUUGAAUUCUCUCUGUGAUGACAUCUUCCUGAGUACUUAAACAGGGUCUUGAAUAGUGGGGUAAUUCUUUUACUUCCGGAACUGGUCACAUGCACUCCACGUAGUGGGCAAAGGAAUUAGCACAAAAUUCUUUUGUGUUUUCUUUGUGCUAAUUGCCAGUAUGUCUUAGUUGAGUCUGAUGUGUCUAAAGGGAGUAGAGGGAGUGCAGGCUGUGACUCACAGUAUGCAUUUCGCUCUGCCUGAGCAUCCCAGCCAGGCCUGGGCUGAGAAGCCAAGCCUUACGAUAUAUUAGCCCCAAAGAGUGGUUCUUUAACACGUUUCCUCAAAAGGAAGCUUUGAAAGGGUUUUUCCUAACUUCUGUCAUCUUCUAGAGCAGGGAUCUGGUUUGGAGCUGGAUUCCUGGUUCUUUGCUCUUAGUGAGUGAGAGAGUGUCUGGGCGACUCUGGGUGUUCCCACUAGCCUGGAUCUUUGUACCUUGUUGAUGACUUGGCAUGAUUCAGAUCCCCAAGCUUUGCUGUGGGGGCCCCGAAGCCCAUUUGGGAAGCACGGGCCUGACCACAGUGCCGUGUGCUCACUAUUCCUUUGGAAUAGUAAGGCUGGGCCAGAGGCGAAACAACCCUCCCUUCCUAUACCUUAAUAGAAGCAACAAGAUACACCCCCGGACAGAUGGCUGUAGAAAGUGUUUCUAGAAAGGAUGGGAAAUGAUGUACUCCUGUGCACUUAAUAUUCACUAAGCCCUUGUGAAGGGCUUUGAUUUCUGAGUGUAGAAUGAGGGUAGAAAGAAGAUGUGUUGUUAGGAUUCCAUGAGGUAAUGUUUGUAAGUGUUUAGAACAGGCUGACACAUUAUAGGUGUUUGUUAAAUUUUUAAAAAUUUACUUUGGUUUUUUUGAGACAGUGUUUUCACUAUGUUUCAGAUUGGCCUGGAACUCAGUAUAUACAUCCUAGGCACACCUCAAACUUAAGAUGUUCCUCCUACCUCAGCCUCUCGAGUACUGGGAUUACAGAGAAGGAAGAAAAACUGGACUGUCUUACUUGAUGGACAGGCAGCCAGGGCCCUGUCUCUCUGUCCCAGCUGCCCUUGACAGGUGCAGCCUGCUGAGAGUGGCAGCCCAGCACCCACUGCAUACCACAGGUAAGCCAAAUGCAGGGAAGCCUGGCCACGUUCCCUUGGGCAUUUUUGUUGAGAGAAAUAGCAGUGUCUGCCAUUCCCUCCCUGUGUUUGUCUUCAUAGCUCCCUUCAACCCUCUAGCUCCCCAGGAAGUAAAAGGGUUUGCCUGGUCAGUGUUCAGGAUAGUUGAUUGCUUUGGGGAGUCUUGUUUGGUCUUUCUGCCUGGCACAUGGUGGGUGCUCGUGUGGUCAACAGCAGCUUUGGUAACUGGACCAGGUCCAGCUGUAUGACAGAUUUGCUGGGGUGUGUAUGUUCCUGACCCUAAGCCCUGGAAAUGGGGUGGUAAUUAAUCAUGUUUUCUCAGGGUGCCCAUUCCCUCACAGAAGUGGACUAAACAGUCCCUCUGGGCCAGACACAGCAUGGAUAUGCCUGUGCCUCUUGGGAUGGCUUCUGAUUCAGAUUUUAGAAGGAGCUACUUUCUCCUCCUGGGUAGUGCCAGGUGCUAGGCCAAGGGGUGAGUUGUAGGAUCAUGUGUGCAUGAGAUGGUGAGAUGGGGGCUGGGGAGCCAUGUAUAGGAAGGUGUCUGUUGAAGAGACUCUCACUUUCAGGGCCGGCUGGUCAUUACACGGAUCAGCAGUUCCUCUGGGUUCAGUUCAUGCCAUUCACUGUCUUAACUUGGAAAGUAAGAUGGGGCUUGAAAAUGGCCUUGGAAACAGCAGUUGAUGGAAUGCAAAGGUAUCCCCAUAGGUCAGGGGCCAGAAGGUAGUAUUGCUACCAUUGCAAACCGUGGGGAGGUGUACAGUAGGCAAGACACUGAUGCAUGUGGGAAGUGCUCACUUGUCGUGGUCAGUAUUAUUAUUGGUGGUGGUACUGGUGCUAGAAUAUCAGUAAUCCCCCUGGUAAUGGUGGGGUUACUGAGAGCUGUGUUCCCUUCUCACCCCUGCCCUGUUCCAGCAACACAUGAUGUUCCUGUUCUGUGUUCUGUCUACAUCUCUAGAACCACAGGCGGGCGUGAAGUAGAAUUGGACAAACAGAUGGAACUAGGGGCCUCCCUGAAGCAGGGAGAGGUGAGCAGAUGUAUGUCAGCACCCCUCCGCCAGCCCCCUGCCCUGCUCUCCAUGCAUUUGAUGGUGACAAGCUGGCUGUGGGAUUGGUGGUUUUCACAUGAGUGACUCAUUCAGUCCCCAGGGAGGACCUUGUUCCCAGGGGAAUCGAGAGAAGAUGGCUGCUGUGGGGUGGGGGGAAUCCCCAGGGUAACGCAGCCAGGAGUCUGUCUCCUGGGCCCCACCCAACAUCCUGUUGGAGAACCCCUAACAUCUGUAUUUUUAGCAAACCUCCUCCAGGUGGUUCUUAGUGCAGCCAGCCCAGAACCUGCCAACGGCACACAGACUGUCAAACUACUCCCCCAACACACACCCACACGCUUAAGUCUAGUUAUUGAACAUUUGGCAUGAAGAGUGGUUGAAAGAAGAGUUUAUAUAACUCAGCCCCCCAAAUUGAAUGAAUAGACUUGAAAACUGAAAUCGGUAUUUCUGCUCUGCUCCCCUUCCUUUGGUUUAAGAGGGAUUCUCUGCCUCUUGGAAGGGCAGCAGACAUUCCUAGGGACUUGAGGGGAAGUUUCCUUUGUGUAGGUUACACUUGGAGCUGGUUCCAAUGAGCAUGUAUUUGACAUUUAACUGUAUCUCCUGACCAUUCGGCAGUGUUUGUUGAUAGGUGGGCCUGAGAGUCACAGCAUAUGGGUUAGAAAUUAUAUUUUAGUAA
ensembl:lncRNA